ensembl:snRNA U6 U6 spliceosomal RNA
GUGCUUGCUUUGGCAGCACAUAUACUAAAGUUGGAAUGUUACAGAGAAGAUUAGCAUGGCCGCUGUCUAAGAAUGACAUGCAAAAUAAAAAUUAUGAUGCUUUA